rnacentral:lncRNA from 1 species
CUUAAAGAGAAGGAAUGUACCACAAGAAGAUAUCUGUGAAGACUCUGAUAUAGACGGUGAUUAUAGAGUGCAAAAUACCUCUCUAGAAGCUAUUGUUCAAAAUGCUUCAAGUGAUAACCAAGGAAUUCAAUUAAGUGCAGUUCAAGCUGCUAGGAAGCUUUUAUCCAGUGAUCGAAAUCCACCAAUUGAUGACUUAAUAAAAUCUGGAAUAUUGCCUAUUUUAGUUCAUUGUCUUGAAAGAGAUGACAAUCCUUCUUUACAGUUUGAAGCUGCAUGGGCUUUGACAAACAUUGCAUCUGGAACGUCUGAACAGACGCAAGCAGUGGUUCAGUCCAAUGCUGUCCCACUUUUCCUGAGGCUUCUGCAUUCACCCCAUCAGAAUGUCUGUGAACAGGCAGUGUGGGCAUUGGGAAAUAUUAUAGGUGAUGGACCUCAGUGUAGAGAUUAUGUGAUAAGCCUUGGAGUUGUAAAACCUCUGCUUUCAUUCAUAAGUCCAUCUAUUCCUAUAACAUUCUUAAGAAAUGUUACCUGGGUCAUGGUCAACUUAUGUCGCCACAAGGACCCACCACCACCAAUGGAGACAAUUCAGGAGAUUCUUCCAGCUCUUUGUGUAUUAAUUCAUCACACAGAUGUAAAUAUACUGGUAGAUACUGUCUGGGCCCUAUCUUACCUUACGGAUGCUGGCAAUGAGCAGAUACAGAUGGUAAUAGACUCUGGAAUAGUUCCUCAUUUGGUUCCGCUACUCAGCCACCAGGAAGUUAAAGUUCAGACUGCUGCACUGCGAGCUGUGGGCAACAUUGUCACUGGAACUGAUGAGCAAACACAAGUAGUUUUAAACUGUGAUGCUCUCUCACACUUCCCAGCACUCCUCACUCAUCCCAAAGAGAAAAUUAAUAAGGAAGCAGUGUGGUUCCUCUCCAACAUCACCGCAGGAAAUCAACAGCAGGUUCAGGCAGUAAUUGAUGCCAAUCUUGUACCAAUGAUAAUACACCUUUUGGAUAAGGGAGAUUUUGGCACUCAGAAAGAAGCUGCUUGGGCCAUAAGUAACUUAACAAUUAGUGGGAGGAAAGACCAAGUCGCCUAUCUCAUCCAACAAAAUGUUAUUCCACCUUUUUGCAAUUUGCUGACUGUAAAAGAUGCACAAGUCGUGCAAGUAGUGCUUGAUGGACUAAGUAAUAUAUUAAAAAUGGCUGAAGAUCAAGCGGAAACCAUAGCCAAUCUCAUAGAAGAAUGUGGUGGAGAUAACAUAAAGAUCUUUGCAUGAGGUAAAUCUACAGCAUAGUUCAUUUUUAGAUUUUGUUGAGUCCUGUAAAGAAGAAAAGUUUCAGUUGUGAUAGAAUACCGUGCUGUGUUUAAAUGUUAACUUGUUUUCAAACUUUGUUUUCUAUGAAAAUGAUAUGGAAACUUCUAAAAUGGAAUUUGGUGCAUAUGUACUGCUGAAUAAAGACCGAUGAAGAGGUUUGAGUAGAUGUACAAAUCAAGUAAUGGUUUGAACACCUUUAAUAAUAUGCCUAAUCUGUUUAAUUGUUUUAGAAUCUUUUUAUCUUAGAUGUAGGCAGCCAUGAACAAUCUAUUUUGAGCCACUUUAGGGAGAAAAACUUUGUAUUUUUAAAACUUGCAUAAAAAUUAUGCAAGUGGUUUUUAUAAAUUGGAAUAAUACCUCAGUUUUGAGGUUAUGCACACUAAAUUAAAUAUGUCAUAAAUUAAUUUGUACAAAAAGAACUCUUUAUAAGGUGGCUCAUUGUAGGAAAUCCUGUGCCUUCCCCUUUGAGCACAAGUGUUGCAUGAACAACAGUUUGCUAUAAGAAACAUACCAGGUUAGCCACCAUUAGCAUCUAUAUCUACUUUGUGUUUAAAAAUCAACUGGUAAUUCUGAAACACUGUAGAAUGGAUAAAAAUUAUUUUGUGAUCAUAACUCUUUGUUGAACUAGAGUAUUUUUGCAGCAUUCCUUGUCAUCAAAAAACAUGGUUAAACUUUAAAACUAGAAGCAGCAGAAAACUAGCUUGUAAAAUUUAUUCAAGUAGAGUACAGGCUAGGCUGUCUUGGGGAAAUAAACAUUAAAACUUAAAGCAAUGUUUU